GGUCCUUUAACUCAACAGGUAGAGUAUCCGGCUCAUAACCGGAGCGUUCCGAGUUCGAUCCUCGGGAGGACCACCA
rnacentral:tRNA from 1 species